AUUAAUCCAUUUAUUAUUUGCAAGGGGGUUUAUAUCCGCACAUCCAGGUGGUAGAACCACUUCUGUUUCAAAGAUGGACUGGGGAAAGACAUUAAGUUUGGAGCAGCUCAGGGCUACGGAUUUAGCCUUUCUCCCUCGGGUCUCCAGACUCACUUAGGUCCAAGCUGCGGAGCAGGGACAGCGGAGCUCAGGCAGCCACGUACAGGCCCAGCCACCAGGUAGGAGAACCCGAUCCAACUCUAGGCUCGGAGAAGGGCAAGCCAGGCCGCACCGGGAUCCGGCCCCGGGACCGCAGACGCAGUCAUCUGGCAUCCCAGAGUCCAGCAUAAGAGCUGACAUAUAAGAACAGCCUUAAAUUAAAUGAAUAGCUGCUGAGAACCAGAAGGCGCCGGCUCCUUUGGAAGAGCCUUUCCCUAGAUUGCUUUGCCUCUGCUCUGGUUCCCCUUGGACAGUGGUCCCUGAACACCGACUUCAAGAAGACUCCAUGGAUGGCUGUCCAGUCUCAUCCACUGCAGUUUCCCCUCUGCGUUUCCUUCUUCACUUCCUUCACCCCAGUGAGGCACUCCGUAGGGGCAGAUCCUAGAUGAAGCAGCGGACAACAGGUUGAAGGACUGACCUCUGAGAGUGCCAACAGUCAACAGUGUGCUGUCAGAUCCAGACAAAAGAAGAAAACGUGUUCUAUGGAAGGGGGAGAACAGUCUGAUAGUUCUUUAAAGGCUGAUAGUGAGGAACGGUCAAAUUUGGGAGAAUUUAUGGCAGGGCUCCUGUGGUGUCCCUACUGGGUUAUGUAAUCUGAGUGUUCCUGCUGGACUGUGAUUGAGAGAGGCUGAGUGUUCCAGUGGUCCUGUUCAGCGCUUGUCCGUUAAUAAGAGACAACACCCGUUAGUCUCUAUAUUGUUUCUCUGUACUUUUGAUCUGGGAGACACUGACCAUCUUGUAGGAUAAAAGUCCAUGGUAAGAAUAAUUCAAACCCUCAUGAAUUUUUUUGUCUGUAGACCAGGUGGUGACAUCGUGUUUUGAGUUAAUUAGAGCAACAGAAUCACAGGGUGGGACUGAAUUCAUUUGAAAUAUUUGAUUGAAACAUGACCUUGCUAAUUAUGCAUUGGAGAUCAUUAUGGAACAUGAUUGGAUUCAUGAAGCACACACUACUGGUCAUAUGUGGCAACCUAGCAACCAGCUAAAUACAGCAUAGACUCUUCAGAGACUAGGAGAGGUAGACAUGGUUCUUUUCUCAUGGAGCUUACACCUUAAUGUCCCUGUGUGCUUGAAAAGCAGUGGCUAUUGCAUGUGUGCUGCCAUAGAGCUGUUCUUGAGCGCAGGCCUCUAGUUGGGGAGGAGUUCCUAGUGCUGUAGUCGUCAUGGUCACUGGCCAAGUACCCCUAAGCCUACAUUUUAGAUAUAGGCUGGUUAGUCUGUGAAUGCAGACUGCUAUUUUCUAGCAAAAGUCCAGGGAUGGCAGGGGAAGUGCUUGAGAUGUACAGGGCUUCUGGAGUGGGAAAUAUGAAAUUAUUUUGAUCAGGAAACAAGAAGGGAUGGGAUUCAGAACCAACUAUUGCUUCUGUUCUAUGGGGGAAACUACAGUAUGAAAUAUGCUGGGCUGGGAAACUUCCACACCUUGGUUUUAGUCCCUUCCUUCCUUCCCUUCUUCCUUUCUU